rnacentral:rRNA from 1 species
UACAGAGGUCCCAAGCGUUGUUCGGAUUCACUGGGCGUAAAGGGUGCGUAGGUGGUGAGGUAAGUCGGAUGUGAAAUCUCCGAGCUCAACUCGGAAAAUGCAUUGGAAACUACCUUGCUAGAGGAUCGGAGGGGGGACUGGAAUACUUGGUGUAGCAGUGAAAUGCGUAGAUAUCAAGUGGAACACCAGUGGCGAAGGCGAGUCCCUGGACGAUACCUGACACUGAGGCACGAAAGCUAGGGGAGCAAACAGG